rnacentral:rRNA from 1 species
CCUACGGGCGGCAGCAGUGGGGAAUAUUGGGCAAUGGAGGAAACUCUGACCCAGCAACGCCGCGUGAAUGAGGAAGGUCUUCGGAUUGUAAAGUUCUUUUCUAAGGGAAGAAGAAAGUGACGGUACCUUAGGAAUAAGCCUCGGCUAACUACGUGCCAGCAGGCGCGGUAAUACGUAGGAGGCGAUCGUUAUCCGGAAGGACUGGGCGUAAAGGGUGCGUAGGUGGUUUGGCAAGUUAGUAGCGUAACUCCAAGGCUCAACCUUGGAACUACUACUAAAACUGUUGGACUCGAGUGCAGGAGGGGCAACCGGAAUUCCCAGUGUAGCGGUGGAAUGCGUAGAUAUUAGGAGGAACACCAGUGGCGAAGGCAGCAUACCGGCGCCACACUGACGCUCAGGCACGAAAGCGUGGGUAUCGAACAGGAUUAGAUACCCCGGUAGUC